GAAUAGAAUAAAUGACUCGAAUUCAAGGUGUGUUUUGAAACGAUGUUGGGAGCUGCUAUUUAUAUUGUAAGGAAUGUGAUUC